CAGCCCCUCGAGUGGUGGGGAUGAUUAUUUGGCCUAAAGCGUCCGUAGCCGGCCGUGUAAGUCUCCCGUUAAAUCCAGCGUCUCAAGCGUUGGACUGCGGGAGAUACUGUACGGCUAGAGAGUGGGAGAGGUCAGCGGUAUUCUGGGGGUAGGGGCGAAAUCCUUUGAUCCCCGGAGGACCACCAGUGGCGAAGGCUGCUGACUAGAACACGUCUGACGGUCAGGGACGAAAGCUGGGGUAGCGAACCGGAUUAGAUACCCGAGUAGUCC
rnacentral:rRNA from 1 species